rnacentral:rRNA from 1 species
UACGGAGGGUGCAAGCGUUAUCCGGAUUCACUGGGCUUAAAGGGCGCGUAGGCGGGCAGGUAAGUCAGUGGUGAAAUCUCCGGGCUUAACCCGGAAACUGCCAUUGAUACUAUCAGUCUUGAAUACCGUGGAGGUAAGCGGAAUAUGUCAUGUAGCGGUGAAAUGCUUAGAUAUGACAUAGAACACCAAUUGCGAAGGCAGCUUACUGGCCGAAUAUUGACACUGAGGCACGAAAGCGUGGGGAUCAAACAGG